rnacentral:rRNA from 1 species
AUGGACUUGAUGGUCGGCUCUUCAAGUGCUAGAUCCGUUGGAGGACGAACUGAGCAAGCUUUGAUAUGUGGCCCUGGAACAAAACUUGGUACCAAUGCUGCAUCCAUAUCCAGUGCGGGUGAUGCAGAUGGUGGAAGUUUCCAGAAUAUAGCUGGGAGUGGGGGUCCUUCCGGGCCCGUUGGGAACCCACCAGAUGGUUUGGCUGGAAGUGGUUUGUCUCCUAAGUUGGAUGGCAGCAUUCCAACACUUGUCCCAUAUGGCGAGAGUGACGAUGAGGUUGCUCUUCUGGAUGAUGAUAUCGCCUUCUGCCUGCGUGCAAUGUUUGCAUCACCAGGUGUGCCAAGCUGUGGCGUUGGAGAGCCAGGUCCAAGUAGAGCAGCCUCUCCGGUUAGGAGAAUGUUUGCAACGGACGAAGAGUAUGCUCGAGAGUUGGCAAAGAAGCUGGAAAACAAAGAGAUCGAAGCAAAUGAUGUAAUCGGAGGAUCCACUCGCGGUGGCUGCUCAGAAAGAACAUCAGGAGCGGGCCGGAUGUGGUAA